GGGUUGUGAGGUUAAGCGACUAAGCGUACACGGUGGAUGCCCUGGCAGUCAGAGGCGAUGAAGGGCGUGCUAAUCUGCGAUAAGCGCCGGUAAGGUGAUAUGAACCGUUAUAACCGGCGAUACCCGAAUGGGGAAACCCAGUGUGACUCGUCACACUAUCAUUAACUGAAUCCAUAGGUUAAUGAGGCGAACCGGGGGAACUGAAACAUCUAAGUACCCCGAGGAAAAGAAAUCAACCGAGAUUCCCCCAGUAGCGGCGAGCGAACGGGGAGGAGCCCAGAGCCUGAAUCAGCAUAUGU
rnacentral:rRNA from 1 species